rnacentral:rRNA from 1 species
GUUUUUUUGUUAAUUAUAUAAAGUCGGGCCUGCUCAAUGAUGAAUUAAAUAGCUGCAGUAUUUUGACUGUACUAAGGUAGCAUAAUCAUUAGUUUUUUGAUUGAGAACUGGAAUGAAAGGUUUGAUGAGAAAAUGACUGUCUCAUUUAUAAAAAUAGAAAUUUAUUUUUAAGUUAAAAAGCUUAAAUCUAAUUAAAAGACGAGAAGACCCUAUAGAGUUUAAUAAUUUGUUUAUUUAUAUUGUAAAGGAAAAAAUUUAUUUAAAUAAGUUUAAUUAUUUGGUUGGGGUGAUUAAAAAAUUAAUUAAACUUUUAUAU